UUUUUUUUUCAGAUCUCGCAUAUCAAGCCUCCGCCACCGCGUCUUGAAACCAUCGUUCACCACCACCACCACCAUUGACGAUGUUCAACGCAUCAGCGCCGUGACAUCAGCCCUGGAGUUCAACGCAACGACGCCGUCACAUCAGCCAUGGAGUCUGAUCCAAAUUCCGAUUGCUGCAAUGUUUUCAACGGGCUACAAUGAGAGCUCCUAGAUCUGAUGCCCGACGAACCCUCACCCUCCACCUCCAUCCACCACCAGAUCCGACGCCACGAGACCACCGAAGAUGCUUGACGGAAAGACAUCUCGUGAAGCAUUUUUUAAUUUUUUUUUUUUUUGGUAAAGUUUUCAUUUUUCUUUUUAGUUAAAAUCAUUGUAUUUUAUAAAUAAAUCAAUU
rnacentral:lncRNA from 1 species